rnacentral:misc_RNA from 1 species
GCCCACUCAUGUAUUACAUGUACCCCUCGAUUAAACCCGGCAACACAAAGGCCAGUAGCAAGGCCAAGGAGACAUCCAACAAGCAACAUCGCCCAUUCCGGCGGAGCACUAUCCCCUAGAAUUUCAUCCGCAGUAGAUGAAACACCGCGGCGAUUAGAAGGCGAAGGCGACGAGGAGUGGUGAUGAUCCCUAUCCGAUGAUCGCCGACCAGAAAAUCCUCGAU